rnacentral:rRNA from 1 species
CCCUUAGAUGUUCUGGGCCGCACGCGCGCUACACUGACGAUGGCAACGAGUUUUUCCUUCGCCGAAAGGUGUGGGUAAUCUUUUGAAACAUCGUCGUGCUGGGGAUAGAUCAUUGCAAUUUUUGAUCUUGAACGAGGAAUUCCUAGUAAGCGCGAGUCAUCGGCUCGCGUUGAUUACGUCCCUGCCCUUUGUACACACCGCCCGUCGCUACUACCGAUUGAAUGGUUUAGUGAGGACUCCUGAUUGGCGCCGCCGCCCCGGCAACGGAGCAGCGGACUGCCGAAAAGUUGUUCAAACUUGAUCAUUUAGAGGAAGUAAAAGUCGUAACA